UAAAAUUUUACAUACCUCACUAUUAUCUUAUACCUUAUUGCAAAGUGUAGAGGCACCAUUUUCUUUGUGAACUUAAAAAUUUAAUUUAAUUAAAAAUUAAAAAAAAUAAAUAUGAUUAAAGCAGCAGAAAAUAUUUACCAAACGCCGCAUAAACCUGAGGAACAUCAAAAUGGCGGAGAAGUAGAAGUUGAUCACCUCAGAAAAAUGUUCAUUGGUGGGUUGUCCGCGGUGACUACUGAAGAAUCUCUACGUGCUUUUUAUAAGCAAUGGGGUGAUGUAGUUGACGCUAUAGUAAUGCGUGACCCGGCAACAAAACGUUCCCGCGGAUUUGGUUUUAUCACAUAUUCUGACACGUUUAUGGUAGACCGCGCACAGGCCGCACGGCCUCACGUCAUCGAUGGCAAGCAAGUAGACUCCAAACGUGCAUUGCCUAAACCUGAAUUAGGUAAACCAGAAGCUAGUACUACAGUGAAAAAGAUUUUCGUUGGAGGUUUGAAGGAAAAUCAUGAUGAACAGGCUCUAACUGAACAUUUUUCACAAUUUGGAAACGUCGUCGGCGUUAAAAUUUUAACAGACAAAACUACUGGGCGCAAACGUGGUUUCGCUUUUGUAGAAUUCGAUGACUACGAUGCAGUAGAUAAAGCAGUUUUACAUAAAAAUCACACAAUAAAAUAUGUACUGGUUGAUGUUAAGAAAUCUGUUUACAAGCAAGAAUUGGCAAAGAAACGCGCAACACAAGCGCAACAAGCAGGAGUACCACCAGGCGCUCCGCAAGCCAAUGGCUAUCAACAGCCUGCCGCACCAUAUGCUCAACAGCCCGCUUACGGUUAUCCACCACAAAUGGGUCCACCAGCUUACAAUGGAUGGGGAGGUUAUCCUCAAGCUGCACCUCCUACCGCUUAUCAACAACCCCCACCAGCCCCUGUUGCGAGCUAUGGUGCUUACACAGCGCCACCACAAAACGGAGCUGCCCCAGGUUGGGGAGCCCCCGCAGCCUAUGCAGCACCAACUGCAUGGCCUCAAAAUGGUUAUGCGGCAGCGCCACCAACCGCAGCACCUGUGCCGCCACCAACUGCUGCCCCUGCAGCAGCACCAACCGUAAAUAGCUGGAAUGGUGCCGCUGCUGCGCCUACAGCCGCUGCUCCGCAAAGUUUUGGUGACUACCAACAGUCAUAUAACGGUGGUCCACAAAAAGCUGGUAGCUUACAGGGAAAUCGAAUGAACCCUUACAGUGUGUCGUCGGCGCCUAGUUAUGGUUCAACCGCUUCUGCCGGUUACCUGAAUGAAUCAAUUUCCACGGGUAAAAGUUCAUCAAAGAACUCUGCGUACAAAACGCAUGUAUCUCAGUCAAAGCGACCUUAUUAAAUAUUUGCAACUCAAGAUGAAUAUAAUGUUAAAUAAAAAAAUAUACACAGAAAGAAAAUGCAUGAAGCAUAUCAGAACCAUCCUUAGCGAUGUAAAAAUCAAAAAAUUAUUAUUGAAAAAUUGCAAGGAAAGUUUUCUAAUUUAAAAAAUUUUCACAGGCAUGUAAGAUGUAUGCUUAUACAUAACAUUAAAGUACUACCACAUAAAUUACCCGAAUUAUUUUAAGAGAAAAAAAAUAUAAAUAAAUAAAAUAAUGAUAAAUACAAAUCAUCCUAAACCGAACCCAUGAAAGAGUGUUUAACAUAAAAUGCACUACGUACAUUACAUAGAGCAAAGUUAAAGAAAAAAAAAAAACGUAAGAACGCACUUCUAUAAGGAGGAAUUUCAAGAUUUGUAGUUUCCACAAAUGAACUUUAUAUUUCAAAAUAAAUUACUUAAAUAAUCUAUAUGCUGGUAUGUACACAUUCACUUAUGUAAGUAGCGUGCAACCAAAAUAUAGCAGUAGAUCACUUAAUUACAUACAUAGAUGAUAAAAUUUUUAUUGGACAAAUAUUUAAUAACACACAUACCAGUUGUAUAACUCAUUGGUAUAUAAAGAAGAUUACAUUGCAAUGAAUUUGCAUAAUCAAAUACAAAAAAUAAAUUUGAGGAAUCCCAGCACUACAUGGAUGAAAAUUACCAGCAGCAGAAAAAAAAAACAAAAAAAA